rnacentral:rRNA from 1 species
GGAAUAUUGGGCAAUGGCCGAGAGGCUGACCCAGCCAUGCCGCGUGCAGGAUGAAGGCUUUCUGAGUCGUAAACUGCUUUUGCCAGGGAAGAAUAAGGUUCGUGCGCGGACCGACGACGGUACCUGGUGAAUAAGCACCGGCUAACUCCGUGCCAGCAGCCGCGGUAAUACGGAGGGUGCAAGCGUUGUCCGGAUUUAUGGGGUUUAAAGGGUGCGUAGGCGGUUCUUUAAGUCCGGGUUGAAAGCCCACUGCUCAACAGUGGAACUGCCCUGGAAACUGGCGAACUUGAGUACAGACGAGGGUGGCGGAAUGGAUGGUGUAGCGGUGAAAUGCAUAGAUACCAUCCAGAACCCCGAUUGCGAAGGCAGCUGCCUAGACUGUAACUGACGCUGAGGCACGAAAGCGUGGGGAGCGAAC